rnacentral:rRNA from 1 species
GAUGAACGCUGGCGGCGUGCCUAAUACAUGCAAGUCGAGCGAACAGACGAGGAGCUUGCUCCUUGGACGUUAGCGGCGGACGGGUGAGUAACACGUGGAGAACCUACCUAUAAGACUGGGAUAACUUCGGGAAACCGGAGCUAAUACCGGAUAACAUGUUGAACCGCAUGGUUCAACAGUGAAAGACGGUCUUGCUGUCACUUAUAGAUGGAUCCGCGCCGCAUUAGCUAGUUGGUAAGGUAACGGCUUACCAAGGCAACGAUGCGUAGCCGACCUGAGAGGGUGAUCGGCCACACUGGAACUGAGACACGGUCCAGACUCCUACGGGAGGCAGCAGUAGGGAAUCUUCCGCAAUGGGCGAAAGCCUGACGGAGCAACGCCGCGUGAGUGAAGAAGGUCUUCGGAUCGUAAAACUCUGUUAUUCGGGAAGAACAAAUGUGUAAGUAACUAUGCACGUCUUGACGGUACCUAAUCAGAAAGCCACGGCUAACUACGUG